UCGUCAUCAGUCACACGUGGUCUGUAC
rnacentral:sRNA from 1 species